CCUACAGGUGUUUGACCUGCAGAACAGGUGAGGUACCGCCUCCUACAGGUGUCAGACCUGCAGAACAGGUGUUAGACAGAAUAAUUGAUUGGUAAUAAUUGAUUUAGGUGAUGUGUCUGUAUUGAUCAGAGUUGUGAGUCACCUGUAGCUCAUAAAUAAAGUUGUUUCAGUCAAACGUCUUGUGUGUUUUCAUACAAACUCAGUUCCUGUGAAAKUCAGAGUAUGUUUAAAACUGAAAUAAAAACAGAAAAUGUU